rnacentral:sRNA from 1 species
CAAAUAAUUUUGUAUCUAUACUAUUAAUUGGGAAGCAUUGUGUGAACUACAACAUUGUAAGGGUAGUUUAAAACUAAGUAAAUGAUUUUUUUUCAUGGGUAAUUUAGUAAAUAAACAACUACUUCAACUAAAUAAAUAUCUUGAAUUUUGCUUUAAAAAAAACGAAUUAAAUCAAUAAAUUAAUAUCUACACAAUAUUUUCGGAAAUCAUUUAAAAACGUUUCCAUAACAUAUCAGACUAUUUUAAUUUUAAUUAUAUAUAUGUAAACUUAUUUAUUUUGGUAAUAUGUUAUUAGAUAAAUCGGAAACUUCAAUCUAAUUUAAUAACAAAUUCUCAUUUAGUUUAGAUUUAAUACAAUUUUCUUAACAAAACUA